AUGGCAUCCUUACUUUUUGCAUGACUUAGCAUGCAUCAUGGAGUCGCCGAUACAGAAGUAGCCGUGCUCGCUUUCAGAGCACCCUGAGUUGCGUAUCGCAUCUCAAGCAGUUCAUGCUCUGGAUGUCAUUAUAAACCAGCUGCCGGAGCCCCCUCACAUGGGAUUGGGCCCUGAUAUGUCGCCGGAUGAGAGUUUCAAAGGACUAACAAGUCAGCAGUCAGCAUUGCUGGACAGGGACCCGCUGCUGCCACAUCUGGAUGCAGCCUACCUCUGGUGGAGAUUCAGUGAGGAAUGUUCAGUGUUGGCCGAUAUGACAUCUCCAGUGAAGCAGCACUACCCUCACCAUCACCGGGACAGGACUUGCUCCUUGAUGUCAAGGAGGUCACCUUGUACACACAGGUCUCAGACAUGCUUGGAAAAAUCUACUUGUCUGAGGCCGACAACAUUACUGUACAAAAGGAGAUCCAUGGCAUUCUAUGGGAUGUUGCACACCAGCCUCUUGUAUGCCUGCGAGCACAGUGGAAAAGUGUGCAACACCCUUUUGCCAUGGAUCUCCUUUGACCGAGGCCAAAGCCACUUCAACGCCGAAGUAGCGACAAAACCUGUAGGAUCUGAGGCAUCACCUCAGAAAACUGUGCCAAGCAGUUCUCGAUCUCAGCUAUGUAUCUGCGAUCCUCCAUUUUGCCAUCCGUUAAGCGUACUGUGUGGUGUGCCGCCACUCGGUCCAGCCCGGGCAGCCAUGUCCUGCCGUUUGCGUAUCACUUGUAUGUCCCGUUCUUGUGCUUUGGAGAGAAAUUCUUUAUCGUUAUUUGGAGUGCUUUUUGGUUUCGUUUUGUUAUACACGCAGUCACUGUAGCAUCGCUGGGCUAUACAUGCAGG
rnacentral:lncRNA from 1 species